GGUCCUGUUUCUACAGCUCACUUGUGAGAUUCCCGCAUUGGCUGGCUGCUCAGUUUGGGUGCAGAAUGGGUGGCGGCAGCGAGAGUGUCUUGUGCCUUCCGUGUUCUACUUAAGGAUGGAAAAUGAUCUAAGAACAUGGUUUUGGAAGUGGACCAACACUGACCUCAUCAGAAGUCAAAGCCAGAAGACGAAUCAGGAAACAUUAGUUCGUGCAUCCCAGCAGAGAAUGUACAAAUGACGUCAGGGAAAAGCAAUGUGGAAGCCGGAGGUACUUCCCAUGUUUCCUUUCUCUUUGUGGUUUUGGUCCCUUCAUCCCCUCAGCUUUGGAAGCUCUCUGA